rnacentral:rRNA from 1 species
UACAGAGGGUGCAAGCGUUAAUCGGAAUUACUGGGCGUAAAGGGUGCGUAGGUGGUUGAAUAAGUUAGAUGUGAAAGUCCUGGGCUUAACCUGGGGAUGGCAUCUAAUACUGCUUGACUAGAGUACUGUAGAGGAAGGUGGAAUUUCCGGUGUAGCGGUGAAAUGCGUAGAUAUCGGAAGGAACAUCAGUGGCGAAGGCGACUUUCUGGACAGAUACUGACACUGAGGCACGAAAGCAUGGGGAGCAAACAGG